CCCCCAAAGUCCCUAAAUCCCCAGAGACGAGUUCGACGACGAUCUCUCUCCGUCUCUCGACGAGCGACGACGGUGACGGCUAGCGGUGUUCGAGUUCACCGACGAUCACAGCGACGACGGCGAGUGUUCACCAACGAUAUCUCUCUCGACGAGCGAAGACGGCUAGCGGUGGUGCGGCGACGGCGUGUUACGAUCUCUCUCUCUCUGAGCUCAGUCCGUGCUUGGAAGAACAGCUAAAAGGAAGAAAUUGCUCUCACCAAAGGGCAUGGAUGUACGCCCAAUAAUGGAAGUUGUAAAAGGUGCAGCCUAUGACAUUUUGCAGGCGGCCAGUGGUUGUCCUACAUCUUUAAGGCCUGGUCGUUGGUUAGACUUGUAUAGCGGCACAGGAUCUGUUGG